GACGAACGCUGGCGGCGUGCUUCAUACAUGCAAGUCGAGCGGGGUCCAUCCAGUGGCAACACUGGUGAAGACCUAGCGGCGAACGGGUGAGUAACACGUGAGGAACCUGCCCCAGAGACCGGGAUAACCCUCCGAAAGGAGAGCUAAUACCGGAUGCCCCCACCGGAUCGCAUGGUCUGGUGAGGAAAUGGAUUCCGCUCUGGGAGGGCCUCGCGGCCUAUCAGCUUGUUGGUGAGGUAACGGCUCACCAAGGCGUCGACGGGUAGCUGGUCUGAGAGGACGGUCAGCCACACUGGGACUGAGACACGGUCCAGACUCCUACGGGAGGCAGCAGUGGGGAAUAUUGCGCAAUGGGCGAAAGCCUGACGCAGCCACGCCGCGUGAGCGAUGAAGGUCUUCGGAUCGUAAAGCUCUGUGGGGGGAGAAGAAGAAAGCCGGUGAAGAGCCGGCCCUGACGGUAUCCCCUCAGCGAGCACCGGCUAA
rnacentral:rRNA from 1 species